rnacentral:rRNA from 1 species
AAUCAACGCUGGCAGAGUGCAUAACACAUGCAAGUCGGGCGGGACCACCUGAGAUUACAUCAACUGGUGGUUUAGCGGCAGACGAGUGAGUAACACGUAAGCAACCUGCCCCUGAAAGGCGAACAACCAGCCGAAAGGUUGGCUAAUGCGCCGUACUAUCCCCUGGGGGCAUCUCCGGGGGAUGAGAGGCCCGCAAGGGCCGUUCGAGGGAGGGGCUUGCGGCCCAUCAGCUAGUUGGCGGUGUAACGGACCACCAAGGCUAUGACGGGUACCCGGGCUGAAAGGCCGGACGGGCACGAUGGCACUGAGACACGGGCCAUACUCCUACGGGAGGCAGCAGUGGGGAAUUUGGACAAUGGGGGAAACCCUGAUCCAGCAACUCUGCGUGAGGGACGAAGUUCUUCGGAAUGUAAACCUCUUUUGUCGGGGACGAAACUCUG